rnacentral:rRNA from 1 species
UACGUAGGGUGCAGGCGUUAAUCGGAAUUACUGGGCGUAAAGCGUGCGCAGGCGGUUUGCUAAGACAGGUGGGAAAUCCCCGGGCUUAACCUGGGAACUGCGCUUGUUACUGGCAGGCUUGAGUGUGGCAGAGGGGGGUGGAAUUCCACGUGUAGCAGUGAAAUGCGUAGAGAUGUGGAGGAACACCGAUGGCGAAGGCAGCCCCCUGGGCUAACACUGACGCUCAUGCACGAAAGCGUGGGGAGCAAACAGG